rnacentral:lncRNA from 1 species
AGGAUGUACUGUCAUAUUAAAGAAAAUCCGAUCCUUUGGAAUGGGAGAGUAUCAAAGGAAAAACUCUGUGAUAUGGCCAAAAUGUAGCUCCAGGGCAGAACUUACAGAUCUGCCAUAAUGCAAACCACCAUUAAGUUCUAGGCCUUUGAACCUUGUUUUUAUGCUCUUCUGUCCUGGUUCCAGGUCACAACCUCCUCUCCCCCUCCCCAAGUAAGAAGAGGCCACAUAAAAGAGCUAUCAGCCAGUUCCUCACACACUCAACUCAAACACCUUCAGAGUUAUACGUACACCACAACUAUUACAUUGCCCGAAUAUGCCUAACUACUAUGAUUGCAAGAAACAGUGCAACUUUUAUUCAGAUUGUGGUAUUGGCAGUGAAUGCUGCUUGUCUGUCUGUGGAAAAAUCUGCAUGAAAAUGCCAGAACCUGAGACCCUCAGUGAUAGCAACCACCCCACCACCACCACGGUGGUGUCUACUGUUGUUCCCUUGAAUUUCACUGAGAUGUUCCAGAAGCAUCAUCAUCAUCAUCAUCAUAACACUACCUGAUAAUCAGUGGGACCAUUGUCUUGUCUCGGCGGGUUGGGGGAAGGAGGAGGACAUGUCUCCCCUACUUGUCAACCCUCUUCUCUGAACAAUUAUAUUGUCAGCUUCAGUUCAUUGACAAAUAAACAGUGGCAGUAACCCA